rnacentral:rRNA from 1 species
AAACAUCGCCUCUUGACAAAACAUAAGAGGUCCAGCCUGCCCAGUGACAAAGUUUAACGGCCGCGGUACCCUAACCGUGCGAAGGUAGCAUAAUCACUUGUUCUUUAAAUGGGGACUCGUAUCAACGGCACUACGAGGGCUAUACUGUCUCCUUUUUCUAAUCAGUGAAACUGAUCUCCCCGUGAAGAAGCGGGGAUUAAAAUAUAAGACGAGAAGACCCCAUGGAGCUUUAAACUCACCAUGCACCUCUGUGCCCCCCAUAUCCUUAAACACAACGGACCUGCAUGCUAGUUUUAGGUUGGGGUGACCACGGAGUACAACUUAACCUCCACAGCAAAUGGGCUAAUACCCUUAUCCACGAGACACAACUCUAAGAAUUAUUAUACUAAUGCUUAUUGACCCGAUAUUCGAUCAAUGAACCAAGUUACCCUGGGGAUAACAGCGCAAUCUACUUCAAGAGCCCAUAUCGACAAGUAGGUUUACGACCUCGAUGUUGGAUCAGGGUAUCCCGGUGGUGCAGCCGCUACCAAUGGUUUGUUUGUUCAACGAUUAAAACCCUACGUGA